CCCGGGCUCGGGACCCGGGCUCGGGACCCGGGCUCGGGACCCGGGCUCGGGACCCGGGCUCGGGACCCGGGCUCGGGACCCGGGGCCCGCGGC
rnacentral:tRNA from 1 species